rnacentral:rRNA from 1 species
AGAGUUUGAUCAUGGCUCAGGAUGAACGCUGGCGGCGUGCUUAACACAUGCAAGUCGAACGAACCUUCGGGUUAGUGGCGGACGGGUGAGUAACGCGUGAGAAUCUGCCCUCAGGAGGGGGAUAACGGUUGGAAACGACCGCUAAUACCCCAUAUGCCUAUUGGUGAAAUGAAUUUCGCCUGAGGAUGAGCUCGCGUCUGAUUAGCUAGUUGGUGAGGUAAUGGCUCACCAAGGCUUCGAUCAGUAGCUGGUCUGAGAGGAUGAUCAGCCACACUGGGACUGAGACACGGCCCAGACUCCUACGGGAGGCAGCAGUGGGGAAUUUUCCGCAAUGGGCGAAAGCCUGACGGAGCAACGCCGCGUGAGGGACGAAGGCCUCUGGGCUGUAAACCUCUUUUCUCAAGGAAGAAGAUAUGACGGUACUUGAGGAAUAAGCCACGGCUAAUUCCGUGCCAGCAGCCGCGGUAAUACGGGAGUGGCAAGCGUUAUCCGGAAUUAUUGGGCGUAAAGCGUCCGCAGGCGGCUUUUCAAGUCUGCUGUUAAAGCGUGGAGCUUAACUCCAUCAUGGCAGUGGAAACUGAAAGGCUUGAGUAUGGUAGGGGCAGAGGGAAUUCCCGGUGUAGCGGUGAAAUGCGUAGAUAUCGGGAAGAACACCAGUGGCGAAGGCGCUCUGCUGGGCCAUUACUGACGCUCAUGGACGAAAGCCAGGGGAGCGAAAGGGAUUAGAUACCCCUGUAGUCCUGGCCGUAAACGAUGAACACUAGGUGUCGGGGGAAUCGACCCCUUCGGUGUCGUAGCUAACGCGUUAAGUGUUCCGCCUGGGGAGUACGCACGCAAGUGUGAAACUCAAAGGAAUUGACAGGGGCCCGCACAAGCGGUGGAGUAUGUGGUUUAAUUCGAUGCAACGCGAAGAACCUUACCAGGGUUUGACAUCCUGCGAACCUCUUAGAAAUUUGAGGGUGCCUUCGGGAAUGCAGUGACAGGUGGUGCAUGGCUGUCGUCAGCUCGUGUCGUGAGAUGUUGGGUUAAGUCCCGCAACGAGCGCAACCCACGUUUUUAGUUGCCAGCAUUUAGUUGGGCACUCUAGAAAGACCGCCGGUGAUAAACCGGAGGAAGGUGUGGAUGACGUCAAGUCAUCAUGCCCCUUACACCCUGGGCUACACACGUACUACAAUGCUACGGACAAAGGGCAGCAAACUCGCGAGAGCUAGCAAAUCCCAUAAACCGUGGCUCAGUUCAGAUCGUAGGCUGCAACUCGCCUACGUGAAGUAGGAAUCGCUAGUAAUCGCAGGUCAGCAUACUGCGGUGAAUACGUUCCCGGGCCUUGUACACACCGCCCGUCACACCAUGGAAGUUGGCCAUGCCCGAAGUCGUUACUCCAACCCUUGUGGAGGAGGACGCCGAAGGUGGGGCUAAUGACUGGGGUGAAGUCAUAACAAGGUAACCGUA